CCUACGGGAGGCAGCAGUGGGGAAUAUUGGGCACUGGAGGCAACUCUGACCCAGCAACGCCGCGUGAAUGAUGAAGGUCUUCGGAUUGUAAAGUUCUGUGAUGGGGGAUGAACACAAUGACGGUACCCCAAUAGCAAGCCACGGCUAACUACGUGCCAGCAGCCGCGGUAAUACGUAGGUGGCAAGCGUUAUCCGGAAUGACUGGGCGUAAAGGGUGCGUAGGUGGUUUAGUAAGUUGGCGGUGUAAUUCCGGGGCUCAACCUCGGCGCUACCGCCAAAACUAUUAGACUAGAGUGCAGGAGGGGUAAGUGGAAUACCUAGUGGAGCGGUGGAAUGCGUAGAUAUUACGCAGAACUCCGAUUGCGAAGGCAGCAUACCGGCGCUCAACUGACGCUCAUGCACGAAAGUGUGGGUAUCGAACAGGAUUAGAUACCCCUGUAGUC
rnacentral:rRNA from 1 species